UGCGCGCAGUGCUGGUCCUCCUGGCGUGAGCGGUUCGCUCGUCUCCCACGCUCAAGCGCCCACGCUUUUCCUUCCCUUCAUUCCGCUCUCUGGAAAGAGUUGCGGAUGAGCGGAGAAAUCCUGCUUUUUUUAAUUUCAAAAAUUUGAUCAUCAGCAGCAAGAGCCUCUUAUCAAUCAAGAUGCUACGGAGCCUGGACCAUAGGCAUACUCCAGAGAUUGAAUCGAACGUGGCUUUAAAGUCUAUGAAAGUUUGCUUGCUGACAGAAAAGGGGAGCUGAGAAAGUUAAAGAAAAAACAAGAUGGAGGGGAAAUCUUACAGAAAGAAAACAUCUUGUUGGUGUCCAAAUCUUGCUUACUGUGUCCUUCUUGCCAGGAACAAGAUACAAAACUCUUGUUAACAUUCAAUAUGCAAGUCCCAAGAAUCCUCCUAAAGAGAAAUGUAUGGCAAGUGCAAAUGUGUAAUUCUGUGACAAAUGUUUACCAAGGAUGUCAUUGGAAACCAGGCCACACCCACAUAGCCUGGGGGCAGUUCAACCAACCAAGACCAUCUUCUGACAGCAUAGUUAGAUUCCUGUGAUAGGUGCCUAUAGGCAGCUGUACAUGCAAGCAACCAGUAGGGAAACAUCACCAGACCUGAAUAAACUAGGUAUCCGUCUAAGAUGGAUGCAGAUUACUGUGGAGAUAGAGUAGGUCAGAUCCUUGCUACCAACACUUUCUGUUUCUAUCAACCAAUGAUGACAUCUAGUGUUGGCAGGCCCCCAAAUAGCAAUUUCAUUCUGGGCUUGGAAGUAGACAUAGAAAAAGAAAUGAGAGCCGAGCCAUUUAUGAUACACUUUAAAGUUUCUAAUGAAGAGAUCCUGGGGAAUAUGCAAAAGACAAUUGUUCCCAUGGCAAUUGCUACAAAUCAGCUUGAAAAAGACAGGAUGGCAUGGGAGAAAACAAUGGAAUUCAACAAGUUGGCAAUGACCUCAUAAGGAGUAAAUGAACAAAGGUUGGCAAUUCCAGGCUAAAUGGUGGGUAUGAAAGCAGCCUAAAACAUUCCUGAUUCAUGUCCCUCUUAGUCAAAUGCAUUCCGUAAGUUAAUUAUGUAUUCUCUGAAGAAGUACUUUGUUCACACAAUGCACAAUUAACAUCAAAUUUGUUGGUAUAGGAUGUAGUAAUAGUUACUGGCUUAGACAGACUUAAAAUGGAAUUAGACAACUAAAUGGAUCUAUCAACAGCUAUUAUCCAGGAUUAUUAACUGAGUCUUCCAUGGGUAGAUUCAGCAUUUGUCUGAAUACCGGUUGCAGGUAGACAAAUAU